UUCAACUACCCUUUCUUCUUCCUGCUGCGAUGGUGCGGUGCUGCGUGUUCUCCACUCAUUUCCCCUCCCCCCGAUUUAGUUCUCUGCGGAGGGUUCGCACCGACUGGCUGUGUCCGUAGGCUGCGGGAUGUGGAGCGCGGCCUGGAGGAGCCAAGCGCACCACCAUGACCGAGCUCCCAAGGCCACGAAGGCCUCGUGCGCAGGGAGACGCCCGCGGGCCCGCACCCUGUGGCGGGUAGGUGACGCGGGCCGGCGGCUCGGUAGGACGUUGUGUUCUGUCCAGAAACGACCUCUCUUGGUUGUGUGUUACUGCUGAGUGAUCUUCGCUGGGCCCAAUGGAGACUCUGAAGAUAAUGUACGGUGAAUGAGACGGGACAUUACAGUGAUAAAAUAGGACCUGGUUAUCUGCAAGUUUCUUGGCAAGUCUGAAGAGCCCGGAUUUUAGACCAAGAGCUGUAUAAUCAGUAAAGUGGUGGCCCUCAUCUGAUCAUUAGCAUACAGUUUGGAAGAAACUUCAGAGAAAGCACAAAAGGACAGCUGUCAGCAGAAAUGUAUGUUCAGCUAACAGUAUAUUUGAUUUAUACCUGUUGGUGGAUCAAUAAAGGCAUUGGCAACAUCUUUCUCAAA